rnacentral:rRNA from 1 species
CUACGGGAUGCACCAGUGGGGAAUAUUGGACAAUGGGGGAAACCCUGAUCCAGCAAUGCCGCGUGUGUGAAGAAGGCCUGCGGGUUGUAAAGCACUUUCGGUUGGGAGGACUGCUUCUAGCACUAAUAUUGUUGGAAGUUGACGUUACCUUCAGAAGAAGCACCGGCUAACUCCGUGCCAGCAGCCGCGGUAAUACGGAGGGUGCAAGCGUGAAUCGGAAUUACUGGGCGUAAAGCGCGCGUAGGCGGCUAGAUCAGUCGGGUGUGAAAGCCCCGGGCUUAACCUGGGAACUGCAUCCGAUACUGUCUAGCUUGAGUACAGGAGAGGAGAGUGGAAUUCCACAUGUAGCGGUGAAAUGCGUAGAUAUGUGGAGGAACACCAAUGGCGAAGGCAGCUCUCUGGCCUGAUACUGACGCUGAGUUGCGAAAGCGUGGGGAGCAAACAGGAUUAGAUACCCCCGUAGUC